rnacentral:rRNA from 1 species
AGAGUUUGAUCCUGGCUCAGAUUGAACGCUGGCGGAAUGCUUUACACAUGCAAGUCGAGCGGCAGCGCGGGGGCAACCCUGGCGGCGAGCGGCGAACGGGUGAGUAAUGCAUCGGAACAUGUCCAGUUGUGGGGGAUAGCCCGGCGAAAGCCGGAUUAAUACCGCAUACGCCCGAGAGGGGAAAGUGGGGGACCGCAAGGCCUCGCGCGAUUGGGUUGGCCGAUGUCCGAUUAGCUUGUUGGUGGGGUAAAGGCUUACCAAGGCGAUGAUCGGUAGCUGGUCUGAGAGGAUGAUCAGCCACACUGGGACUGAGACACGGCCCAGACUCCUACGGGAGGCAGCAGUGGGGAACUUUGGACAAUGGGGGCAACCCUGAUCCAGCCAUUCCGCGUGAGUGAAGAAGGCCUUCGGGUUGUAAAGCUCUUUUGUCCGGAGCGAAACGGGCGCGGUGAAUAUCCGCGUCUACUGACGGUACCGGAAGAAUAAGCACCGGCUAACUACGUGCCAGCAGCCGCGGUAAUAC